GGCGCGUUCGUGGCGGCGAGGUAGCGGCCGUAGGCGGCGCUGUGGAGGAGAACGUACUGGGAAUCUCCAUAUCCCUGGUAGAUGUGCACCGCCCAGGCCGCGUUCAUCGACGCCCGGCGGUGGUGGAGGGAGACGCGACGCCCGUCCUCGUCGGCGUGCAGGUACGCGCCGGUCUCUCGGCUCCGCAGACGCACGUGGUGGCCGUCCUGGAACUGCUCCGUGGCUCUUCGGUGCCGCAGGAGAUCAGAGGCGCGCAGUGGAGACGAUGGUGGGUUUCUUGCUUCCAUGGCGACGGGGAGAAGAGGAGAAGCGAAAGCUGUUGGUUGAGACGGUUGCGUUCGGGCGCCAAGGCGGGGGUAUUUCAAGGUGCACGCUGUGGCCCGUGCUCGCACAGUGGGCCUGUGGGCUCAGCCCAUAUUACUUUUUUUAGACAACCUCAGCCCUUACUACUGAGUGCAGCCUCUUGCAUGCUCCAGAGGCGCACGGCAUAUCCUAUACUAGUUGUUGGGGCACAGCCUUGCUGCGCCCCUUGAGGCGUGCCGUUGCGGUGCUAUGUAGGCACUCGCUCUUUUCUCUUGCUUCUUUGUGAUUUGUGUGAUGCAUCUGCAUGCAAGCUAUGAAAACCGCUUCAACAAAAUAUAUAGGUUGUUCACGUGAGAAUAAACCGCAUCAUAUGCAAUAGCAUAGUCAGGUGCAAGUUGCUGGUUGGAAAAACAAGAAAAAAAUCAACUGAUGAUAGGCUGUUUUGAUAAGCAAUAUAUUGGUGCUUAGUAGAAUUAAGCUCACAUGACUUGUUCUUACAGAUUUGUAAAUGAUUAUAGAAGAAUAUAAGAUUCCUACAAACAAUAGAUGAGACAUAAGUAUACUAAGUGAUUGCCAGAUGACCGAGGCUGAGCCCCGCCACCUCCUCCAUCCUUGCUGCCAACAACGGGGAUGAGCCCCUGAACCUCAUCACCACGCCAGAUUAUCUGCUCCUUCCACUCCGAUUUCUCCGUUGGAAGCUCACGUCUCUAUCGCCCUCUUUCUUGGCCUGACAGUGGGAGUCCAGUAGCAAGCAAAAGGUGAUACAAACGGGUAAGUGUUUGUGGUAUCUUGAUGUCACAAACAGAUAUCAAGAUGAAAAUGCAUGAUACAAGGCACCGUACCUUUAUCUGUCAGAUCUGAAAUGCAAAGAAAACAAAAAUAAACAAGUAAAUUUCAUCAAAGUAGUAAUGCAUCCUAACAAAAAAAUGUGCAAAAAGUUGUAUGCAAGAGUUAUGAUUUAUAAGGCUUAGCUGCACAAUGCUUUUCGACAAAAUAUCUAUAGAUACAAAUGGCAAGAGAAAUGUUGUAUUGUUCACAACAUGGUUAGAGUGCCAUGGCUUCCAAUGUUAUAAAUCAGUCCCCAAAUGUUUUCAGCAAGAAAGUUCUUGCUGACAAGGAGGUAAAAUACUAUUUUAUUUUCAUUUGACAUUGACAUAACAAAAGGUUGGUAAAUAUCAUGAAAUGCUUUACCCUUAAAUAAUUAUGUUCCUGACAGGAAACAUUUGAUGGCAUCAAUCUUUUUUCGAUUAUGACAAUCAUUUUUCUUGUUAGUCCCGACGACACCUUUGAUUUCAACAUCUUAUCAAAUUGUUGCGGAGGACUAAUAUUAUAUAGCAGAUACAGAUCCAUUAGAAGAAUGCCGUGACCAGAAAUUUGAUUUUUGCAUCUUAUCAAAUUGUUGUUGGUCCUGACCACACCUUUGUAUAGUGUUACCCUUCUUGCACAUGAGACGCUCUUAUGUGUUUUGAAGUCGUAACUCAGAAUUUCAACAACUUUACCAUGUUUUAGUGUUUCCAUACAAGAGAGUAGUAAAUCCGUACCAAAUGUAUCUGCAAUUAGGACAGGAGCAGCAUCAAUAACAAAGCGAGUCCACAUCUCUUGCCAAUAGCACAAAAACACAUCAGGUUCUCAUGAAACAUGCGCUGUACCUAGCUGAUCAAAGUUAUAAUCAUGAACACAGAAUGAUUCCUCGUUACAUAGUCCAUAAUAAAAUGACUCUUGUGAUAUUUGAGGUCAAAAUUCUUAUUGCUUGAGAGAUUUUACCCAUCAUAUGAUUACAAUAAAAUUAUAGCAAAGGAUGUUGAUAAAAAAUUGAUUGCAUAGUUAAUGAAACCACACACAUAUAAAACAGGAGAAAUAAACUAUUAGUGUCUUUAUCGAGAAAAACUGGAUUGUCCAAUUAUCAUAAGAAGCGUAAUCAGAGUUGUAAUACACAAAACCUGUGUAAUAACAAUUAUACACUGAUUGUAUAGCUGAUUGAAGAUAAUUUUGCAAACAGUAUUUUAACUUGAAGAAAGCAAAAAAGGUUUGUUGUCAUCAUAUGAUGGGUGAGGUGCAUUUGGUGUAGAAAGGUUGUACCAUGUCAGUGACUACAAUUCACUGAAUUUUUGCUACCAAACAGAAAGAACAGAACCCAUCGAGUAAACACAAAUGGUUCCUGGUGCCCAUUCCUCCAGGCCUCACAUCAUUGGUAGCUCCUCCCCCGACAAAGAAUCUUUCAGGUUCAGCUCGUGCAAACGGAGUGCUGGAUGAUGGACGCGAGCCGCGGUAGCAUUAAGCACUUCGCGUGUCGAGUACAUUCCCAUCUAGUGUUCAACAAACCUACAGUCACCUAGAUAUAAAGUAAAAGGGUAAAAUUAGGAUGUUAAAAAGCCACUUAGAUCCACGUCUUGGUGCAAAAUAAUUAUUAAAUGAUUAUACAAGUCUUUAAGAUGAAGAUCCCAAUAACAAAAAUGUCCAUAAAUAAUAAGACAUUGGGAUAAAAUAAUUUUGUCUUCUAUAAAUGUAUCCUUGAAAAGACAGAAUAUAAGUGUGUGAAAACAGCUUGUCCAGAAGAUCAACCUUAUUCCUUUCCUCAGGCGCUAUGCAUACAUUUUGAGAGCUCAUGGCAAGACCAUCGACUUCUCGCACUCUAUCUGAUCCUACUAUCUCUAUGGCAAAAUCAAGGUCGCAAUCCUGAAAAUACCAUGAGCGUAUAUAACUAACUGGAACACUGAACAAAAUGGUCCAGAUUCAAUCGUAUCUAUAGCUGAUGCAAUGAGAAAGGAAACUUUGCAAUUUUAUUCAUCAUUAUAAUCGGAAAAGUCAUGGCCGAGUCACUGGAAUGGCAAUGCCAAGAACUGAAUAAUUUGUUCAGGCAAUUAAAAAUAGCAUCAUGAAUUUUGUCGCGCACAAACUCAUGCAUGCUGACUCGGCGAAUACUUAAUCCUAAGGGUCAGACUGCAGGGUCUAAGACAAUAGUCCGUUUUUGCAACAGACCAAAUGAGUACGCAACCUAACCGUCAGAAAGUACUGCUGCAAUGUGCCUCUGUCUAAGUUCUACAAAAAAUUCAGCACAUACCAGACGCAAGAUAAAUUACAGUAAGGUUGAAUAUCAUCAUAAAACUGGCAGAUGCAAAGAGUAUAGUUACUCUUUCUGUGUAGUGUUUAGGCACUAACAGUCAGGAUCUACUUUGCACGUUCAUUUCUCGUGUCCUAAAGCUAUGUCAUGUUAACUUGGUUUGAUUUGCAUGUCACAGACGUUGAACUAAAUGCAUAACCCUAGAUGGAAGCAGCAAUGCUUGGGCUGUCGCUGAGCUCACCAAGAAAAUUUGAGCAUGCGCUUUAGCCAUGUAUAUCAUCUAAAAACAACAAACUCGACAGAACAAGUAGAGCUUAACCUGGAAGCCAUCACAAUGUACAAGAUCUCCUAAUGCAAUUCUCUUCUCAUAAUCCACCGUUGGACCAUCUGUGGAACAUCUGCACAGUUUGGGACAGUAAUCGGGUUAAUUCAAAUGCCUUCAGCAGAAAAUAAAAAGGGCUCCAAGCAUAAAAGCGUAAUGAAAAAUGAAACCUUUAACCGGAUCAGCCGAUAACCAAAUGAAUUGGCAUAUGGAAGAGGCUUAAAUAUCAUUGAAUGAGAAGAAUUAUAUGCUAAAUUUAUAAAUAACUGAGAUGAAUAUUAUAAAUUGUUUGGAUCUAAGUCUCCAACUUAGAGAAAAGUAAACGCAGGCUCCAAACCUAUCCUAUGAAAAAAACAUCAAGCUAAGUAACUAAGCUAAAAUUCUACCAUUUCUCAUCGGAAGUGCAAAACCUUUUAACAUAAUAGUCGGAUGGUUUAGUUUUUCUUGGUCAGGUUUGCCUUUAAAUCAAUUUAACACUAUAAAAUGACCCAGAAUAGUCUAAUGCUCUAGAGACUUUUUCAUUUGCUGGCAAUGGAAGCUGGUUAAGUAGCAUUCAAAUUAAAGGGAAGAGGAUGUGAGCAUUAAGAAGGUGAGAACAUAUCCUCCAAUUCACAGAUUCACUUAUUUUCGUCAGCAGCGAUAUGUUCCUCAGCUUCUCCGAAUAACAUGUGACAUGAAUGUAUGAUUAAAUAUCAUGAGACGAAACAACGCAUGAACCGUACAGUGUAGAUCAGGAGAAGAUCAUCGAAAAAGAAAAAACAAAGAAGGAGAAGAAAAAGAAAGUGAACAGCUAAAAUCAAAGGACCAAACACUCAACAAACAGCUAAAAUACCCCAACAAAAAUCCAAAGGAGCAGCAAAAGCAAGAAGAAGAAAUCAGAACAGAAGUAGGAGACGUCAAUCAUAUAAAGGGUAUGAAAUAAAUUAGCCAACUACUUGUAGACAAUAACAUAUUGGAUAUCCUCUUGCUCUUGUAAGGAAGUUGCUAAUCUAGGAUUAAGAAUCAACAUUUCGAUGGAAAACCGAAAGAGAAGUGUGGAUCUUACCUUGCCAAAUGAAGAGGCCUCAUCCUCGCCCCCACUCUCUCAUGACGCCAGUGAAGAACAUGCCCCUGGGAAGUUCCAGUUUCAACAGUUAAACGAUCAGUUGCAAAAUUCAAAUAAUCCAUGCUCGAUUUUGAAGCUAGCAGUCUACCCAACACAUGGGUCCCCUAUCUGUAGCGCAUCUGAGACCGGGCAAACCAACCGGCAUUGGGAUCUCGUGGAAACCACGGAGGCUGGGGAUCAAAGAGACGAACCGUGAAAGUCGCGGAGGCUGGGGACCUCGUUAGUGCCGGUCUUCCUGAAGCUACGAAAGUCGAGGGGUUGACCACGGCCACCAACGCCGGCUAAGACGCCGGUCAUCACCAUGCGGCGCAGACGAGGCGCGGUGGAGACGAGCAACAUGAGAAGGCGGUGGUUGUUCUCCCCUUCCGCUCGGUUCGAUCUGGACGGCGGGAGCACCGCGUCUCCCAGGCUGCCGCCUCGCUCGGAGAAGAUGCCGCCGAAAGAAGAUGCGGACGAGAGAUAGAGAGAUGAUAGGUUGCAUGUGGUGGUAGAGAACGUGGAGUGUUUGGGUUGGGCUGCGUACGUGCGUACAGAGGCCUUUUACUCCCUUCAUAAGAUUUCUUUCCUUUUUUUCAUCGCUGCGUACAGUAAAGCCUUGCCGACGUGGAUAGCGCCAGCGUUCACCCCUUCUGCGUAGCUUAUUGUGUUUGAUGGCGGUUCAGGCAUCCUUUAUUGUGCAUGAAAAAACUAACGCGUGUGUGAUGGAUCUUUUUUUUUUUCUGAAAUUGAAGCAGGGAUCUUUUGUCCCUGAUAUACCACCCAACCACAACGCCUUGUUGUGAUAAAUUCUCCCUCAAUUACUUUUACUUCCGUUUUUUACUUUUACUUUUCUUUUCAAUUUACUUCAAUUUCCUGAUUUUUUGUCAAAAUCAGUAAAGUUUUCUUUAAACGUGUAACAUUUUCAAUUUGUGAUUGUUUUUUGCAAAAUCUGAUGAAGUUUUUCAAAAUCCAUGAAGUUUAAGAAAUGAUGAAUUUUGUAGAAAUUUCUGCAAAAUCAAUGUUUUUUUUCAAAUUGAUUCACAUUCUUCAAUAUUGACGAACUUGUUUUCUAGAAUCGGCAAACCUUUUCAGAUUAACAAACUUUUUUUCAAGUUUACAUUUUUUUCAAAUUAAUGAACUUAUUUUUAAUUUUCGAAUUGUUUUUGUUUUUGGCUAUUUUUUCCAGAUUUUGUUUCAUCAAAUAUAAACAUGUACAUGGACCGGACAACCCGUGGGGGCUACGGAGCCUCUCUCGCGCCUGAAGUGCCCAAUAGAAACUCCCGAGGCCCUCAUGAUUUGUUUCCUUUUGUCCUGAUUACUGAAUAAACCCAUGACACGAUAUUCGUAUUCUGUACUCAUUGGAACAAGUUUGUCGAUGUAUCCUACGGACAACUCCAAAGCGGUGACACAAACCGAUAUGGAUUUUGUCCAUUUUCUGUACAUUUGAUUCGGUGUUUUGGCCUUUGACAGUGUUUAGGUGGGCAGUAUGCCCAAUGCAGUGAUGCUUUUUCCUCCGCUUGGUCGGUAUGCGGCCAUAUUUUUGCUUUUUUCAUACAUGUCAAAAACAUUACUAAAACAUGGCGUAAUUUAAUCAAAUACAAAUAUCAUAGUUUCACAAUCAAAUAAAAUUUCAUACCUUACAAACCAAAUAAAAAUUAAAUUGUCACAAAUAUAUUUGAAGAAAAAAAGCAGUCAAUACAUUUAUUGGUUGACAAGGUGAACCCACAUAUGCUCAAUCAAAUCAUCUUGUAGUUGAAUGUGAGUUAAUUAAUUAAACAUGCAUUUGGUAAUGAAAUUCGACGAACAAUGCAAAUGUCGCCGCUCCUCCAUGCUCAAGCAUAACAUUUUCAUCCUAAAACUGAAAUCCGUGAUCGAAGAUUUCAUCCUCAUGCUCAUCCUCUAUGAUCAUAUUGUGUAUGACUAAUGAACACACAAGCAGUCAUCACCUCCAGUAACUUCUCGGUAGUUCUAGCAGGAUAUUGUACGAUGCCCCGUCGAGAUUGAAGAACACCGAAAGCACGCUCCACAUCCUUUCUAGCACUCUCCUGUGCUCGAUAAAUCUCUGCCUCUUCUCUCCUUUCGUGUUGGAGAUUGUUUUGACAAGAGUAGUCCACUAAGGAUAGAUACCAUCAGCUAAGUAGUAUCCUUUGUUGUAGUGGGGUGGCCGUUGAUCUCAAUGAUGACCUCUGGGCAGUUGCUUUAUGCAAGCUUUGCCAACACCGGAGAGCGUUGAAGCACAUUAACGUCAUUGUGGUAGACGGCCAUGCAAAGACAGACUAUCAAAUCUAGAGAUCUUGUGAAGCCACGACCUCAAGUAUGAUAGUGCAAAGUUUCACUCGGCCCAUAUACUGUCAGUGACAAGCAGAAGUGUAGUUCUUCCACUCCCAAUGCACGCAGUCUAUGCAACCAAGCAUCCCGGAAGCCAUAUCGGCAUUGAUCGCAAACAAUCGGGUUGUAUCUGCAACAUUUGGCUCUCUGAAGAAUUUCGGGCAAAUACUGCUAUCGCAGCCUUCCAGAACAUAUACAUGAAGCCUAGGCACAUGGGCUCGCUCAUGCGAACAUACUCAUUAAUAAAUUACCAGGUCUUUUGUAUGCAAGCAUCUGAAUAGUUGGAGUGAAUUUCUAAUGAAGAGGGAAAGCCAACCUUUCGCAGGCCAUCCUCCUUACAUUUGAAAUAUUUAUCCUACACCACCACCUUGUCAUGUAUAUGAUUGAACACAUGUCUAGCCAUCCGGAAGCGACGCCGGAAUAUGUUGCGUUUGAAGAGUGGGUCAACGGACUGGAAGUAGUCCUCCCAGAGUAGGCAAUGGCCACUCUCUCUGUUGUGAUUCAACGCCAGAACAUGCCCCGAACCGAGCCCCUGAACAUCGACCGCUGCCUACUAAUGUUGUCAUGGACGACCAAAGUCGCAACCACAAUCUCCUCAUCGUUGGACGACAAAUUAUCCAAAUCGUAAAUGAAGUCUUUGAAACAGUACCCAUCGCCAUUAUCCAUUUGUACCUUGCGAGAAAAACGUCGAACACCUUGCGGGCGUGGUGAAGAAGCCGGCCGGUGAAGAGCCCCAGAUCUCUCCCUGACCAGGCAACACACAUGUGAAUGUGGAGGCGCCCAUGCGACGAUCGACGAGCCAAGUAGCCGAGCUUGGAGUGUUGUUGGUGGCGGCAGAUGUAAGAGGGUGGUGUGGACAAUUGGGGGGGGGGCUAUGACAACAAAGAAUAUAGUCCACCAACAUUGGCAAGAAUGGUGCCCCGCUGGUGUGGCGUGCUACUGGGGAGGUAUGUGGGUGUGGGCGGCAGCCUAGGAAACAUAGAAUUGGAACAGGGGCGGCGGCGGCGGCGAGGGAAGGGUGUGUUGGAUGUCGAUGGGAAUGGGAGUGGAAUGGCCAAUGUGCGAUCGACUGACGGCCAAGGAGAGGACAAGGGUGGGCGUUGCGCGCGUCCAUGCUGUGUCUGCCCUGACGCAAAAACGGCCCAGAAUUGAGUAACAAAUGGAUCAUGUGCUGGCAAUAUGUGAACGCUCGUCCGUUUGCCUCGGCGCAGUGGCCGUGGUUUCUGUCCAUUUCGACCCACACGGACAUGCAGAGACAGUUUGCAUCGACGUGUUCGAGUUACCCUAAGUUGCAGAUUCUCUCGGUCAUAAUCUAUGCCUAGAUAUCCUAUGUCGGUCCUCCCCUCUUCUCCCAGCUUAUCGUUGUAACAUAAGUAGCUAUUUCUGUAUGUCCUUCAUGGUUGUUGGAUUUCCACCAUUCUGAAAUAAUCUAUGCGAAAGCAAACACACGCGGUUCCCAUAUCAACCACCCUUCCCAUAAAAAGGGAUAUGCGCCGCUGCCCGCCGUCCAUGCCUCCUCCGUCCGCUCCUCCGACGAUGGGAGGGGGUGAGGACCCUAGUGCUUCUGUUCUCGCAUGUAGUUUGGGUUGGUCUAGUGUUUACUUGAGGCGUUGUUUUCAUGGAGGAGACGACGCCGCAUCGGAAUAAUUUGUCUAUGCUCUUCCUUCAUCUCGGCGUCUCUCCAAUCAAUGGUGUCACGGGGCAAGCGGCCCGAUCGUCUUCCCGACCUAUGGAUCCGGUGAGGUUCGUGUCUGGUGGUCCGCCAUCGGCGCUCUCACAGGUGGCGACUGUGUCGCCUAUUGUAGUUGUGUUUGUUGUCUUGCAGUUAGAUGCGUGAAUGACGGCAAGCGGCGGUGUUCCUCUUCUUAGACUAGAUCGGAUGAAGUUGACUGCUUCGAGAUCUGGUGACCAUGGGGAAGAUCUCCGGCCGACGUGCCACAAAGUCUUGGUCUCGUCGCUUGCGACGGUCCCAUUCAUCGGCUCGAAAAGUAUCUUUGUAUGUGAUGGUAUACUCUCCUAGAUCUCAGUAUGGCGGUUGGCCUUCUCUUUUCCCGGCGUUACCAUGAUGACGAAGAAAGGACGCUUAUGGACUAAAUUUCGACUAGGCACAAGUUUCUUCAAGGGUGAAAUAGUAAUUCUACUUCUUCCAGAUUUUUUUUGUGCAAAGUUGCAGGCUUCAGAGCAUCUCCAACGACAGCGCUAAAAAUCCGCGCCCAAUAAUUUUUUUAGCGCGCCACUGUAGCAGUUUUGAAGCACGGGGACCGGAGCAUCUCCAACAGACGCGCGCUAGUGCGGCGCCCAAUCUAGUCGAUCCAGCGGUCCCAUCUGCAGCAGCUCAGAGUUUGCUGCGCGCGCAAGCCGGCGCACCAAAUAUGCUGCCGCGAUAGCGUUUUUUAGCGCGCGCCCAAAAGUUUUUAGCGCGCGUAGUGUUUUGCAGCUUCUGCUGGAGCAGUCCGGCGCCCAAAAAACGGAUGUUUUAGCGCACAGAGCAGUUUUUGGGCGCCUGUUGGAGAUGCUCUCAUAAGCAUGUUUGUCUCUUAUGAUGACCAUACGUAUACACUAGUGGGGACAGGGCCUUUAGCCCCGGCCCGUAAGGGGAUUUAGUCCCGGUUCACCAACCGGGACUAAAGGGGCGGUACUAAAGGCCUAACCUUUAGUCCCGGCCCUGUUCCAAGCCGGGGCUAAAGGUGCUCCACGUGGGCGCCUCGUAGCGCCCUCAGGGGCAGGCCCUUUAGUCCCGGUUCAUUACACGGACCGGGACUAAAGAGUUUCAUAUUUUGUUUAUUUUUGGGUUUUAGGGUUUUAGGGUUUAGGUGUUCGGGGGAUUAACGUGAUGCCUCGUUUGGUGUUCGGGAAUUAGUUUUCAUAUAAUUCUAAAUAAAAAUAAUUAUGCAUAUAUAUAUAUAUAAGAUUAACUUAUCUUACAAGCGAGCAUAUAUAUACAAUUAUAUGGAGAUCUGAAUUAUCGGGACUAGAGCCCGUCUANNNNNNNNNNACACAUGAGUAAUGGCCCCUAGCUACACUAAAUCGUCCUUUGUCAUCUAUAGGUUCCGUCCUCAAAAAGGUCGCAAGCUCCUCUGCAGCAAUCGCGCGUUGCUCUGGUAGGACCUUCUCCCUUAUGGACGUGUACUAUAUAAGAAGAGGAGAUGAAUACGAAUAUCAAUCAUGAUAACAAAGAAUGACGGGUAAAAAUAGAGGUGUGAAUGUUCAUUGCUUACGUCAAAUCUGUGAUCCUUAUGCUCAGAGGUAAACGUGCGAAUGGUCUCGCAAACAUAGUAUCCGCAUAGAUGCGUCCCCCGUGGCUGCUGGUCGCACUUUACGAGAAUAUAAUAUAUAUAAUCAAAAUAAUAAUCUAGCAUCAUAAAUGUAUUGAAAAUAGAAGUAUAUCAUACUACUACUUACCUGAGCCGCUCUAAAGGUCAGCUUCUCAGGCUCGAUACCGGGAGUCACGCACUUGAACCGCUUCCAAACCCUGCCCGACAAGGAUAAUGAUUUGCUAAGUUUUUCGUUAAUUGANNNNNNNNNNNNNNNNNNNNNNNNNNNNNNNNNNNNNNNNNNNNNNNNNNNNNNNNNNNNNNNNNNNNNNNNNNNNNNNNNNNNNNNNNNNNNNNNNNNNACAUAAUGGUCAUGUAAUUCUAAAAAUUAUUAUCAUUUAGAAUAAUGUUCAUGUAAUUCUAAAAAUAAUAUUCACAUAAUUCUGAAUUUUAUUUUUUUUAAAAUAAGGUAAAUGUUAUCAUAUUAAAUAUUUCUGCAUUUAAAAAAUAUUUAUGAAUUAUAAUAAUUUCCAUCAACUAUAAACAAAUCAUGCAUUAUUAAAUUAUUCAGAAAAAUAUACAUUUAUUUUUGGCUGUAUUCAUGCAUUCCGAUAGAUAUUCGUGUAGUUACUUUAUGAGAAAAAUAUUACUUAAAGUAUUGUUCUUGUAUUUCUAACAUAUAUUGAAGAAUUAUUUAAAAUAAUAAUUACAUAAUUUAAGUAGUAAAUAUGAACUUUUUUAGGGGAAAAUAGUAAAUACGAAUUUUAAUCAAUUUAGAUAAUUUUAAUCGUAUUUAGUAUGAACUAAAAACACUAUCAUGGUAAUAAUGGACUGCGGUAAGUGCAGCCCAUUUAAACCCCAUCUGGGUUAUUAUGUUUUUUUGGUGCAAAACAUGGAUCACCAGGUAUAGCUAUCACAAAAGGAUAACAAGCCUGACUUGGCUGGGUUGCUUGUUCCUUCGGCUUAGGAUGAAGACACGUGUUCGAACCUCUGAGUUCUGCGUAAAUAUUUGUUUCCUCUUUGUAUUGUUUUCAGACGGAUGGGUUCUGAUGGUCUUUUUAAGAAAAAAAAUUAACAAGCUCUUUUGUGAUAAAUACAAAUUUUAGGGUGUUUUUCGUGAGCCUCGUCAGCAUGUUGAGCGUAUAAAAUAUGAUUAGCAUCAUAAAUGCAAACCCAAGCCAAGUUAUAUCGUCGAUCUAUACCGUAAGUUUUAGCACUGAUUUUUCUUGUUAAGUUUAAGCACUUGCGCUAUAAUUGACUUUUUUUUCAGGCGUCCGAUGAAUAGUGGGAUCCCUGCAACGAUAAUGAACAGGGCACAAUUGUGCUGUAGUUGGGCCGUAUGAGCGCGGACGCGCGGNNNNNNNNNNNNNNNNNNNNNNNNNNNNNNNNNNNNNNNNNNNNNNNNNNNNNNNNNNNNNNNNNNNNNNNNNNNNNNNNNNNNNNNNNNNNNNNNNNNNAAAGCGAUAAAUAUCAACAUGAAAGCAUGAUGCAAAAUGGACGUAUCACCGGUCCACCCACAUAUCAGACUAUCAAAGUAACGAACGCGAACCAUAUGAACAUGAUGAAACUAGCAUGACAGAAAUUCCCGUGUGUCCUCGGGAGCGUUUUUCCUCCUAUAAGACUUUGUUCAGGCUUGUCCCUUGAUACAAAAGGGAUUGGGCCACUUUGCUGCACCGUUGCUACUACUUGUUACUUGUUACUUUUCACUUGCUACGUUUCACCUUGCUACACCAUCAAUUGUUACCGCUACUUUCAGUGCUUGCAGUUAUUACCUUGCUGAAAACUGUUUAUCAGAGCCUUCUGCUCCUCGUUGGGUUCGACACUCUUACUUAUCAAAAGGACUAUACGAUUGAUCCCCUAUACUUGUGGGUCAUCAUAGAUCAUUCAUCUAAUCAUGGCAAGUGAAAGACUAAUAGACCGGAGGGAAUAAAUAAAACAAACCAAAUAAAGAUCCAUAUAUAAUCUGAUGAUGAAGUGACAAUUCAUCACACCGCAACAAACACAUCGGGAACUACAUCAAAUAGACCACAGGCAUGCAAGGCAGCUCAUGUGAUCUUUGUAUUGCAAAGAAGACACAGAGAUAGGAUGCCACAUAGCCAUUAUUAUGAACCCACAUUCCAAGGUGGACUACCCACAAAUGGUCAUGAGUUUGAUGAAGAUAGCUCUGGCGGAAAAUUUCCCAUCAACAGUUUACUCGAAAAAGCUUGUAGAUUGGAUCGCCCGAGAAAGCAUAGUGGCGGCAUGGAAAAAUGCAAGAUAAAUGUUUUUGGGGGUUUCUCAUCUAUAUCUCCAUAAAGGCGUCGAGGCUGAGAGGCGGCGGACCGACACCCUUGGGAGAGUGGUACGACAUGUUCCAGACCUAGGUAAUGCCGGCCCACCACGUCGAGCUCACAGGGCUUCCCCUGGUGGCUUCGGUGCUCCUGGUGUCCUUACUGACUUGAAACUUUGUGGGCUUCGGUGCUCCUGGUGUCCUUACUGACUUGAAACUUUGUGACAGAUUAUAUGUGCAAAAUUCAACAGCAUCCAGAAGAUUGCAACUAACGCUUGGCAUUGGAUUGAUACGUGUGUGUGUUCAUGCGCGCGUGUGCAUGUGCGUGUGUGCGUGUGUGUGUGUGUGUGCAUGUGUGCGUGUGUGUGUGCGUGCGUGUGUGUGCGCGCGCGUGCCAAAACUAUGUAACAAUGGUAUAAAUGUAGCAUGGACAUAGCAAAAAUUAGGGAUACAUUUGAGGCGUGUCCGAGAUCUUUUGCUCUACCGACAUUGGGAAAGGUCAAGGAAGAAAUUAAGAGUAGAGAGUAGAAAUCACGUCUUCCGAGAAUGUUUACUUAUUUUCACUUAAGUGUAAUUUUCUUUGGUAAUAACAGAAAUUGAAUUGGAUAGUUCUCCAAAAAAUUUAUUUUUUCGGAUCAUUGUGGAAACCUUGUGAGUUCUUAUAGUCGUGAGAUAUCCAUCCAUCGCUAGGUUUUGGAGCAUACUGAAGAACAUGAACACAAUCAUCUUUGGUAACCAGAUUAGAAACAUGGUAUGUCUAUUUGUCUUUAAGGAGCAUUCUCCAUGAUCAUACACAUAUGGUUAGUCUUAAGGACAAAAUGCAAAUAUCACUAGAUCAUUUGUAAUUUCAUCACUCUGUUUUGUAACUCCACAUGGUCAUUUUCAUAGAUAAAAGAUAAAAUGACAUAAUAGGGGCCUUGCCUAUUUUUUAUGCUAAAAAAUAUGUCUGUAGCGGCUUUCCAAGUAUAUCUUGGUUUAUAGGUCUGCAGAUCAAAUCUAGGUCGUUGAAGCAUCAUUGAAUGACUCUGGUCUUUAAAUUUAAGGUAAUGUUUUGGCAGAUCCGCUCGACCCCAGUUCAAUUUCACCUUUAAAUUUAACUCCACUUCCUAGGUCUAGAGCAGCAAAAGGAAGUUUGGCUAAGAAAUUCGAAGUAGAUCCAUAUUAGAGAGAGGUUGUUGUGAAAUAUCUAGAUUACUCCUUUAAAUGGUUUACUUUUCUUAAGUUAUUUUUCUAUCGAUCAUGAUUUUGGUCUUCUCCAGCUCACACAUUAUGAGAUGGAGUUUCUAGCCUUCUAAUGUAUCUCAUUUGUCAUCACGAACAAUUGAUGAACGUACAAGAGUGCCACCUAGUCAAGGCAUUUAAGGGGUUCAUGUAGGAUAAUGGCUUGAGGCCAUUUAUUUAUAUUGGCAUAUAACUUCACAUCAACUCCAGGGUUGGGUGAGUGUUAGGUGAUGUGAAGCUAGCAGAUGAAGCACCUUAUGCUACAUUUGGUAUCUCACUGUUUUGGGAGUUUUAGGAGAAUAUCGCGGUUUCCAACAAAACCUUGGAUUUAAAUAUUUUUUAUGUUUUUGCCAUGAAUAAAUACAAUUGUUUAAUAAUCCAUAGCAUCUUCAGGGCUGAGGCCUUUCUUUUGCAGUAUUUGAAAAAUAAGUAUUGCCCUAUUUUUCCUAAACUGGCCAGAAAAAUCUUUGGUUUAGCGAAGCUAAAGUAUCAAUUGCCCAUAAAUGGGAUACUAAUAUUUUAGAUUACUACAAUUCUCUACCUAGUUUUCGUAAAUGCCGCUGAAAGAAGAGAUGCUCCCUGAAUAAAUAUAUUUCAAAAGGAGUUAGGCCCAGAUUUUUUUGACAAAUAUGAACAGAGGAAAAAAUACAGAGUGAUGGUCUAGACUACCAACAAGGGUUUUAUCCUCCACUUCAUGGAUAAAAUCAAUAUCAGUAGCAAACCCUUUAGCAUGAUUGGUGGGUAAAGCAGUAUGAGACUAAAUAGUAAAUUUUGAUGGAGCACCAAGCUCUCUCAAAUUUUUCUCCACCAUUGGAGUUAUCAUCAUUCUGCAAAUAAAUAUUUAAUACCAACAAUAACUGACUUAUCAAGUUUGUUAUGAGUUUCAAAAGCACUUCCUUUAAGAAUCUAUCAAUAUUGUCUAGAAAAUGUUGUCUUCCAGAGCAUGUAAUUCCUGUGUGAAACAGUAAUCAUCUACUGCCAUAAUACGUGUAAACUACUCGAUAAACUAACACUCGAUGUCUAUGUAACGCCUCGGACACACACACCGAUAGUCGCCUCAUAGAUCAAUACUAGUCUAUCAUGGGCAUUUUGUCCUCAUUCGUACACACCCGGGACGAACAUCCCGGUCGGUCACCCAUCCUGAAAUUACACCAAGCUGAGCACAGUUAACUUUGGAGUUUUAUUCGAAUGGGCUCCCGAAAAAAUAAUAAUUCUUUAUUGAUAUGAGUAGUCUAUCAUUCCUAUUAAGCGAGUCUAUCAAAUACACCCCCAUUCAGAGGAACUGACGUCACUAUCAUCCCUAUUAAACUAGCUCCCAAAAAAGAUACGAAGUUGAAGUUUUAGGACAAAUUCACCUACUCCCCGUGACCCUAAAAACAAGGAACUAGAUGUUUUCCCUCUUUCCUCCGAAAUCAAGGCACAUGAUCAUUUAGACCAACUAGAUGACUUGAUGUGCCCAUGGCGUAAAACCCAAAUCAAGUCAAGAAGGGGGCAAACUAUAUCAAGUUGUAACUGAAACGAAUGCUCAUUACGCCAAUGGUGCUAAUACGAAUUACAACUCAAAAACUAAAAAAUUGCUGAAUAUUCAUGGGUCUCACACCAACUCCACUCCUGGCGUGAAACUAAAGAUUGCACUUCCAUCCCUUGCCAUACCUGGGCUUUUGAGAUUUAUUUGAAAUUUGUUUAAUAUUCACAUUGUCUAGGCCAAUUAAUUCUAACAAGUAGAGUUGGGGGACUCAACCACAGAGGACUCGAACUCGGGGCAUGAAAGAGUCGGACCCGACCAUCGAUGAUGCCACGUGGCAAAGCAAAGUCCUUGAGGAAGUCUCACUCGAUCAUGGAGGAUUCAAACUGAGCCACGGAGAAGCUUGCCAUCGAGGGAGUCUUUCGUCCACCCUAGCCCCAUAAGUAACGAGGUCCACUCGACAUUCACCUCUUCAGGCUAUGAAAAAGCAGAGGAUGAGUCAGACCAGGACUAGAGGUCUCGAUUGUCGAGUAGUUCGUCAUUGGGGUGUGACGCAAUGAAGUGGAGUCCACAAAUGAGACUUGGACUCGGGUGAGGAGUGAGGCCCUCUGGUCCGAUUGAGUUUUUCUUUUAAAGGAGGAUAACCCCCGGUUUGUGCAUUAGGGCGAUGCAUACAUCCAUUUAAUAUUAAGAGUGCAAAAUCUAGCAGUCGAACAACAUAGACCUGGAAAUAAAGCAAAAAAAAAGCCUCAUGCCUCGUGACAGUAGCUCCACCAGGGAGCUACUAACUCUAUGUUACAUAGACGACAUCAAAACAAAAAAUACACACCUCUCAGGCUAGGCCUCCAAGAAUGAAUUGUCAUACGUGCACUAAUAACGACAAGUCCAACACAAGGUUGAACUUUGGAUUCUCAUCUUUAAAUUCAAGUUUCAAUCCACCACCGUUAGCAAGGCCCGAAUGGAUGUUGGAGGAAGUCGGAAUUGUCCAUGGAGGAGUUUGCAAUCAAAGAAGUCAGACUCAACACAAAUAAAAAUUCUCUUUUUUUUAUCAAUUUUGCUAUUUCUCGCGUACCUGAAUCUUUUCUUACGUUAAUUACCGCCUUACUUACUUCCAACUUCACCGAAGAAGAAAAAACCUCAAUAGAGAAGCCAUCGCCACACCAUCUAUCUUAGGAGGGAAGUCAUUGCCGCAUUAUCCAUCUUAUUUCUGGCAAGGGUUGUAGAAGAUCGUGUGAGUUCUUCUCUGUUGCGGGAUUGCGGUGGGGCUUAGAGGGAUGGUUGGGGAGACAACCAACAACGACGGAGGGGGAGGGGUCGAGGGGACGACAGGCCGGCGAGGCCGUGUGUGGUAGCGCAUGCCGACCGUGGGUGAUGAAUGUCGGCGGUUAUGGCAGGGCAGGUUGUGGACCGUGGGAGAAAGAAGAUCGUGCGGGACUAGGAAGAUAAACGGUGACGACGUGUUUCUAACCGUUGAAUAUUGAUCUGAUGGUCUAAAUCAUAAGUGACUGAUACUAAGAGUUUUUUCACGAGUCAAUUACACCACAGAUGCGUGAACUUGGCAAGAAAAGUCAGUUUGGUGCUAAAACUUACGACAUACAUUGAACAGGUGCCAAAACUUGACAUGGUCGUGCAUCUACGACGCUAAUCACGUUAUGUAUACGCACAACAUGCUGACGAGGAUCAAUUGUAGCCUUUCUCGAUAAGAAAGAGUGUCGAACCCAACGAGGGGCUAAAGGUAGGACAAAUAUUCCCUCAAGUUCUAUCGACCACCGACACAACUCUACGCACACUUUACGUUCGCUUUACCUAGAACAAGUAUGAAACUAGCAGUACUUUGUAGGAGUGAUAGGAUAGGCUUGCAAGAAAGUAAAGUACACGUAAAUAAAAUUGGGGGCUGGUUAGAUAAAGAAACAACUACGAGUGUCUAAUGAGUGUGGAAAAGUGGUGGUAGGAGUUGCGGAAUUGUCCCUAAGCAAUUGACUACGUUACUAGAUCGAUAGCAAGUAUCAUGUGGGAGAGGCCUCUGCUAGCAUGUCAUCCCUUACUUGGAAUUCUAUGCACUUAUGAUUGGAACUAUUAGCAAGCAUCCGCAAAUACUAACGUUCAUUAAGGUAAAACCCAACCAUAGCAAUAAGAUAUAUUGGUCCCCCUUCAAUCCCAUAUGCAUCAAUUUCUAUGCUAGGUUUGAAGCUGCUGUCACUCUAGCCUUCCAAUACAUAGUCCUAUCAACGUACAACUAACCCUAUGGUGUGAUCCACGCGCGCGAUCAUAUGAUGGGCACCAAAGGACAGCAACAUAACCACAAGCAAAUUAAACCAACCAUAGCAAUUCAUCAAUCACCGAUAGAACAACGAUAAUCUACUCAGACAUCAUAGGAUAGCAACACAUCAUUGGAUAAUAAUAUGUAGCAUAAAGCACCAUGUUCAAGUAGAGGGUACAGCGGGUUGCGGGAGAGUGAACCGCUGAAUAUAGAUGGGGGAAGAUGAUGGAGAUGUNNNNNNNNNNGAGGUGUUGGUGUAGAUCGCCGUCACACGAUGAUGUCCCGGGCGGCGUUCCGGCGCCGCCGGGAGAGAGGGGGAGAGAGCCCUCCUCCUUCUUCUUCUUCCUUGACCUCCUCCCUAGAUGGGAGAAGGGUUUCCCCUCUGGUCCAUGGUCUCCAUGGCGGCGGAGGGGCGAGAGCCCCUCCGAGAUUGGAUCUCUCUCUCUGUGUCCUUCUGUUUCCGCGCUCCCAGAUUCUGUGUUUCACCGUUUCUGAAAUUUCCGGAGAUCCGUAACUCCGAUUGGGCUGAAAUUUUAACACGAUUUUCUUCCGGAUAUUAUCUUUCUUGUGACGAAAGAAGGGCUCCAACCGCCUUAAGGAGUGGCCACAAGCCUGCCUGCCGCGGGCCCACCCCCUNNNNNNNNNNNNNNNNNNNNNNNNNNNNNNNNNNNNNNNNNNNNNNNNNNNNNNNNNNNNNNNNNNNNNNNNNNNNNNNNNNNNNNNNNNNNNNNNNNNNNNNNNNNNNNNNGUGGGCACUCCAUGCAUCGUCUCGCGUUGAUUCUUCUUCCCAAAAAUCAUAAAUAUUCAAAAAAAAUCCCCGUAAGUUUUUAUUACGUUUGGACUUCGUUUGGUAUGGAUAUUCUGCGAAACAAAAAACAUGCAACAAACAGGAACUGGCACUGGGCACUGGAUCAAUAUGUUAGUCCCAAAAAUAGUAUAAAAAGUNNNNNNNNNNNNNNNNNNNNNNNNNNNNNNNNNNNNNNNNNNNNNNNNNNNNNNNNNNNNNNNNNNNNNNNNNNNNNNNNNNNNNNNNNNNNNNNNNNNNCUUCCCUUUGAAUAGGCUGAGGUUGGACCCACCUUUUUUAGGGUCUGCAUCAUUGUGCCGAGGCUUCGGAUUAUGCAAAUGAUGAUUUUUGGCUUCGUAGUGUGCUGUCACAAAGUUUGCCACCUCCUCAGUAAUGAAUGCCUUAGCCAUCGAUGCUUCAACUCUACGCUUAUUUUUACAUUUAGCUCGAAGGGUCUUCUGCAUCCCCUCAGUUGCAUAGCACCAACGGUCUUGCACGGGCCCACCCAAUCUUGCCUCGGUCGGUAGAUGUAAAAUCAAAUGAUGCAUUGGAUGAAAGAAGCCCCGUGGAAAGAUCUUCUCUAACUUGCACAAAAACUCCGGUGCAAACUCCUCCAUGUCUUCUACCACGCCAGGCGACAAUUCUUUCGCACAAAGAACACGGAAGAAAUAGCUCAGCUCCGCCAGUACUAGCCAUUCAUCCUCAGGAAUAAAGCCACGUAACAUCACCGGCAUUACCCGCUCUAGCCACAUGUGCCAAUCAUGACUCUUGAGACCAAAGAUUUUUAAUUUUUCAAGACUCGCUCCCCUCUUUAGAUUCGUUGCAUACCCAUCGGGGAACAUCAAGUGCAUUUUGACCCACAAGAUAAAUUCCCUCAUAGCUGGCCUUCCAAGAUUGAACCAGGCCUUUGGCUUCGACCACUUCUGCUUUCUUUGCCUUCUCGCAUGUUUUGUAACGGUCUAUGACAUAAUGUCUCUUGAUCGACUCUAGCCUUAAUAUUAUCCUUUGUCUUCCCAUCUAUGUCGAACAAUGUACCAAAAAUAGCCUCUCCGAUAUUCUUUUCAGUGUGCAUCAUGUCGAUAUUGUGUAGAAGAAGGAGGUCUUUGAAGUAAGGCAGAUCCCAGAAGCAUGGCUUNNNNNNNNNNNNNNNNNNNNNNNNNNNNNNNNNNNNNNNNNNNNNNNNNNNNNNNNNNNNNNNNNNNNNNNNNNNNNNNNNNNNNNNNNNNNNNNNNNNNUGUCUUUAUAAAUAUUGUAGAUGGCCAACGUCAACCUCAAUUUCAACGCAUUCCUAGAGAAAAACAAGCUGAAAGAUGAUGGUAGCAACUAUGCGGACUGGGUUCACAACUUGAAGCUCAUCCUUGAAGCAGCUAAAAAGGCUUAUGUCCUUGAUGCGCUGCUAGGUGACCCUCCCGCUCCCGCAGCAGCCCAGGACAUUAUGAACGUCUGGCAAACGCGGAGUGAUGACUACUCUCUGGUUAGGUGUGGCAUGUUAUACAGUUUAGAAACGGGCUCCAAAGGCGUUUUGAGCAACACGGAGCAUAUGAGAUGUUCCAGGAGCUGAAGCUAGUUUUUCAAGCUCAUGCCCGUGUCGAGAGAUAUGAAGUCUCCGACAAGUUCUUUAGCUGUAAGAUGGAGGAGAACAGUUCUAUCAGUGAGCACAUACUCAAUGUUUGGGUUGCACGGUCGUCUGACUUCACUUGGAGUCGAACUUCUGGAUGAUGCUAUAAUUGACAGAAUCCUCCAGUCUCUCCCACCAAGCUACAAAGGCUUUGUGCUUAACUACAACAUGCAAGGGAUGGAGAAGACCGUUCCCGAGUUGUACUCGAUGCUCAAGUCUGCAGAAGUAGAAAUCAAGAAAGAGCAUCAAGUGUUGAUGGUCAACAAGACCACUAGUUUCAAGAAAGGCAAGGGUAAUAAGAACUUCAAGAAAGACGGCAAAGCUGUUGCCGCGCCCGGUAAGCCAGAUGCCGGGAAGAAGAAAAAGAAUGGACCCAAGCCUGAGACUGAGUGCUUCUAUUGCAAGGAAAAAGGUCACUGGAAGCGGAACUGCCCCAAAUACUUAGCGGACAAGAAGGCCGGCAACGUUAAAGGUAUAUGUGAUAUACAUGUUACUGAUGUGUACCUAACCAGCGCUCGUAGUAGCUCUUGGGUAUUUGAUACCGGUGAUGUUGCUCACAUUUGCAACUCAAAGCAGGAACUGCGGAAUAAGCGGAGACUGGCCAAGGACGAGGUGACGAUGCGCGUCGGGAAUGGUUCAAAGGUCGAUGUGAUCGCCGUCGGCACGCUACCUCUACAUCUACCGUCGGGAUUAGUUUUAAACCUUAAUAAUUGUUAUUUAGUACCAGCUUUAAGCAUGAACAUUGUAUCAGGGUCUUGCUUAAUGCGAGACGGCUACUCAUUNNNNNNNNNNNNNNNNNNNNNNNNNNNNNNNNNNNNNNNNNNNNNNNNNNNNNNNNNNNNNNNNNNNNNNNNNNNNNNNNNNNNNNNNNNNNNNNNNNNNCGGCGCGUUCGUGGCGGCGAGGUAGCGGCCGUAGGCGGCGCUGUGGAGAAGCACGUGCUGGGCCUGGGCAUCGUCAUCGGCAUCGCCCUGGUACAGGUGCACCGCCCAAGCCGCGUUCAUAGACGCCCGGCAGUGGUGGAGGGAGACGCCAUGCCCGUCCUCGUUGGCGUGCAGGUACGUCCCGUGCACGCGGCUCCGCAGCCGCACGUGGUGGCCGUCCUGGAGAUGCUCCAUCUGCUGGAGGGCGCUGCGAGGUGGAAGUGGGGAGGAUGGGUUCUUGGUUUCUUGGCGCUCCGGCGAGGUGGAGAAGAUGAGAAGCGAAAGCUGUUGGUUGUGCCGGUUAUGUUAGGCGCCAAGGUGAGGAUGGGUUCUAUUUCAAGAUGGCUGACACGCCGUCGCCGUACGCCCAGGUGGGCUUGCGGGCCGAGGCCCGAAAAAAAAGUUCCUUGGGUUGCGUAAGUUAAUGUCCACAACACACUGUUAUGUUUUUUCUCAGCUUAUACCAUACUCCCUCCGUUUCUUAAAUAUAAAUCUUUUUCAUAGGUUUUAUUUAAAAAUUACAUACGAAUGUAUUAGACAUAUAUAAAGUGUAGAUUCACUUAUUUUGCUCCGUAUGUAGUCCUCUAGUGAAAUCUUUAAAAAAAGUUAUAUUUAGGAACAGAGGGAGUAUAAGCUAAAAAAAGUUGUUCUUCUCAAAAAUAAAAAGCUAAACAAAUUGUGUAUCACACAAAAAAUAUAUAAAAAAUUGUUGCUAAAACAUAGCUAAUUUUUUCUAAAAAAUGCUUUAUCUAAAAAAGAAAAAAUGCUGCAUUUCUAAAAACAAUUACUGUUUUGUCUAUGCAAAAUAAAAGGCUCUCCUUCCAUGCUUUACAAAACACAAUUUUAUCAUAUAUAGCAUGCUUCAUAAGCUGUGCACGCGGCUCCGCGGCCGCACGUGGUGGCCGUCCUGGAACUGCUCCAUCUGUCGCCGGUGACGCUGGAGAGCAGAGGCGCGCGGUGGACAGAGAAACCGAGCGGGGAAGGAGAGGUGGGGAUGAUGAUCCGUGGGUUCUUGGUUUCUUGGCGCUGCGGCGAGGCGGAGAAGAGAAGAAGCGAAAGCUGUUGGUUGGGACGGUUACGUUGGGCGCCAAGGCGAGAGUAUUUCAAGGCUUCGGCACUAGGUGGGCCGUUGGAAAUAGGCCUCGAAGCCCACGUAAUUUUCUGAACCAGCACGCCUAACCAUCCACAAGCAGUUGCUCGAAAAACAAAAUCCACAAGCACACUAAAAAAAGACGUCCACACACAAUACUGCUCUGUUUAAAAAUGGCAAUUUUCCUUUUUGGCUCAAGAAAAAGAAAAUACAACCGCAUUGAAUUGACAUUUAUUGAACGUUUCAUUGAAUUGACAUAUCGAGAUGAUACAAUCGCAUUGAAAGAAUGUCCGCCCCUACGUAGCAUGAUGCACACAAUCAUCAAGUCCAACAGAUCCAAAAAUAAACAUCAUUUUACAGCAAUAGCAAAUCAGUCCAGCCUAGGAUGGGGCACAUCCUAUCCAGAGAUUAAAAAUCAUGUGCAUGCAUGAAUAACCUGUACAGAAAACACAUUUAUUAUUAAAAAUCACAUCGUUCUUGAUAAGGCACAAUGCCCAGCAUAAGCAGUCGCUCCUAAAAGAAUGUGGGUAGAAAAUUGUUUAUCAAUAUCCCGCAACCAUUAGCCGAUCAUGUCACAUGGAGAUAUAGAUUUGAAGCUACUUGAACUAUGGGCCACAGUGCACGAGUGAACUUACACUAAAAAAUAAAAUGUUCAAUAAAACAUAAAAUGUUUGUGAAUUCAAAAACUGAUCGGGAUUUAUGUAAAAAUGUUCGCAAAACAAAAAAAAUGCAUGAUUUUAAACAAAAGUCCGUGUAUUAAAAAUUAUUAAUGAAAUUUAAUAAAAUGUUUGCCAAAACAUGUUCAUGCAUUUCAAGAAAUGUCCUAAAAUUUUCAAAACAGUUUGUGAAUUACAAAAGAGUUUACUGAUUAGAAAAUAAUUGUUGACUCAGAAAGUGUUCAUGAAUUUAGAAAAAAAUCAUGAGUUUCAAAACAAAUCCACCAACUUCGAAAAAUAUGUUUGUCUAUUCCGGAAUUGUUCGUCAAUUCAAAAGAAAAUACUUAAAAAUCGUUCGCAUUAUAAAAAAAUGUUUAUAAUUUAAAAAAAUGUUUGUAAAUUGUAAAAAAUGUUCUCAAUUUUAAAAGAGUUUCUAAAUUUGUAAAAAUGUUCAUGAAUGAUUGAAGGUAUGUAAUUAAACAGUAAUGCUUCUGAGUCUUUGUGACAAUAUACCCGUGUGAAUUUUGAAGAAUUAACUACAAGGGUGGAUCAAAAUAUUAUAGUAUGUUUUCUAAAAAAAAUUUCUUGAAAUUCAGAAUAAUUCUUUGAAUUACCAAGUUUUUUGACAACCAUGAUAUUUUUUCGAAAAUGUGAACAUUGCUUUAGCUUGUGAAUAAAUUAAAAGAAGAAACAUUUUCUUGCAUUUAUGCACAAAAUUUUAAAAUCAUGCGGUGAGAUAUGAACAUAACUAUGAACACAACAUGGUCAUCAUCAUUGGAGAUUAUGAUAUUUUUUUCUCCUGUUGCAAUGCACGGGCCCUUUUGCUAGUAAAUCUAAUAUACCAUAGUGAUCUCGCGGGUACCGUUCUAUUACCCCACACUCCUCACUAUCAAUCGAUGUGAAUCUCUAAGCAAGGGCACCAAUAUCACUUUCGUUGUCUGCUCCACACGUAGCAUCAUCCAUCUCUUGCUUCAGUUGGUAAAUCUAGAUGUUAUAGUCCUUGAUAGAUUUACAAUUUUUUUCCUGUUUGAAACAUGAUUUCAUUGUUAUUGCCAAAUGAAAGGGCAUGGCCAGGGAGCAAAAACUAAACAAACUAAUUUUCUGAAUACGUUACAAACACACCAAAAUAAAAAAAUCUAACGGCCAUACGUGACCAUGUCUUCCCAAACGCAUCUAAUACUUCUGCCAACAUGCCCUCCAUCUGCUGGAGGGCAGAGACCGUCGGGGCUGCGCAAUGGAAGUGGGGAGGAUGGGUUCUUGGUUUCUUGCCGCUCCGGCGAGAUGGAGAAGAUGAGAAGCGAAAGCUAUUGGUUGUGGCGGUUAUGUUAGGCGCCAAGGCAGAGUAUUUC
rnacentral:lncRNA from 1 species